rnacentral:tRNA from 1 species
GGUGGCGUGUCCGAGCGGCCGAAGGAGCGCGCCUCGAAAGCGCGUGAGGGUCUUCCCUCCGCGGGUUCGAAUCCCGCCGCCACCG